rnacentral:lncRNA from 1 species
GGCAGAAGGAGCCGGGCUUAACGCGGGGGGAGCUGCCGCGGAGGGGAAGAGAGGGGCGCGGAGCUGAGUGCCGCAGUGCCGCCGUCGGAGGGGCUGCAGUUCACUCAGUGGCUCAAGCUUCCUGUUUUUGCUGGCCUCCUCACUCAAGUCUACCUUGAGUCCUUCCCUCUGGUGAUUUUGCAAGAAACAAUACAGGCUCUCCUCCCUUCUGCUCGUCCUGACUGAACAUCUUGCUUCCACAGUAGUGUAAGGCCUUCAGUUUUCGGACACUCUCUCUUAUUUUAUUUGAUUUAUUAGCUCCAGUUCUAAUC